rnacentral:ncRNA from 1 species
GGUUGGGCAGGCAACUGCUUUCAAGUUUUGAGCUUUAAGGGUGGGGGGCU